rnacentral:rRNA from 1 species
UACGAAGGGUGCAAACGUUGCUCGGAAUUAUUGGGCGUAAAGCGCACGUAGGCGGCAUUGCAAGUCGGAUGUGAAAUCCCUCGGCUUAACCAAGGAAGUGCAUCCGAAACUGCAGUGCUUGAGUACGAAAGAGGAUCGCGGAAUUCCCGGUGUAGAGGUGAAAUUCGUAGAUAUUAGGAAGAACACCAGUGGCGAAGGCGGCUCACUGGUCCGGUACUGACGCUGAGGUGCGAAAGCGUGGGGAGCAAACAGG